AGUUAAUCAACUUAUAAAGUAUUUAUUUUGAAAAUAAAAGGAAAGAGAUUAAUCUCUAUUAACUU
rnacentral:tRNA from 1 species